rnacentral:lncRNA from 1 species
CACAAGCAUCACCACAAAACCUAGCCGGAAAUCGCCUCAGCCACAAGCACCACCACAAAACCCUUGCCGGAAAUCUUUUCUCCUGCUCCUCAAUUUCUCACAAUUUCUCAAGUGUGGUGCCUUCACCACUCCAAGUUCCUAUUUGUAGCCAACUAAGGGUACCCACGCCUCGUUUCACGAGCAAACCCUAGCACCCUUUC